rnacentral:misc_RNA from 1 species
GAAGAUGUACAUUGAAGAAAGAUCAUUUAGGCGUUUUGUUGAGGCUUGCCUGGAGGAGUCUGUUGUUGUAUAUGUGGAUCAUCUACUUACCCAGAAAAACUAUAUUAAAGAAGAAACUAUUGAGAGGAUGAGGCUUGAUGAAGAGGUUCUCAUGGAUUUCUUUCGGGAGUACAUUAGCGUAUCUAAAGUGGAGAGCAGAGUAAGGAUACUCAGUGACUUGAGAGAACUUGCUUCAUCUGAGAGCCCUGAUACUUUCACACUGGUUUACACAAAUAUUUUAGAACAGCAACCAGACUGUCCGCCAGAAGUAGUUGAAAAGAUUGUGAGUCUGCGGGAAGGCAUACCACGAAAAGACGCAAAAGAGGUUGUUCAAGAAUGCAAAGAAAUCUACGUAAAUUCUCUGGUAGAUGGAAAUCCUCCAAAAACAGGUUUUGUUUUUCCCAGGGUGAAGUCCUUAUCAGCGGCAAAACAUUCAAUAUGGCGAAAGCUCACCUAGACAGCUGCUGCUGCAACAAAUCGUUUGUUUUUUCACUCGCUGAAUAUUUCCUGUACAUGCCUUCCGUCAUAAAUGUACAGAUUGGGACUAUAUUUUCCGUCUUCAUAUGAUUUGAUUUAUCUUUAGCUCAUUUAUUCGGAUUGUAGUUGCCUUUGCCAAAUAUGUAUUCAUUACUUUUUUACCAUUUUAGCUACUACCAAUUUUGCAACCGCUAGGGUUACAGCGCACUCGCUCCGGUUCUACUUGUAAUGAUUGUUA